UACGAAGGGGGGCUAGCGUUGCUCGGAAUCACUGGGCGUAAAGGGUGCGUAGGCGGGUCUUUAAGUCAGGGGUGAAAUCCUGGAGCUCAACUCCAGAACUGCCUUUGAUACUGAAGAUCUUGAGUUCGGGAGAGGUGAGUGGAACUGCGAGUGUAGAGGUGAAAUUCGUAGAUAUUCGCAAGAACACCAGUGGCGAAGGCGGCUUACUGGUCCGGUUCUGGACGCUGAGGCGCGAAAGCCAGGGGAGCAAACGGG
rnacentral:rRNA from 1 species